rnacentral:rRNA from 1 species
UACGAAGGCCCCAAGCGUUAUCCGGAAUUACUGGGUGUAAAGGGUAUGUAGGUGGUUCAUUAAGUCUAUUUGUUAAAAUUCGGGGCUCAACCUCGAAAUGCAUUAGAAACUGGUGAACUUGAGUGUGGGAGAGGCAAGCAGAACAGUAAGAGUAGGGGUGCAAUCCGUUGAUACUUACUAGAAUACCAAAAGCGAAGGCAGCUUGCUGGAACACUACUGACACUGAGAUACGAAAGCGUGGGGAGCGAAAGGG